UAAGCAUAUCAAUAAGCGGAGGAAAAGAAACCAACAGGGAUUGCCUCAGUAACGGCGAGUGAAGCGGCAACAGCUCAAAUUUGAAAUCUGGCCUCUCGGGGUCCGAGUUGUAAUUUGUAGAGGAUGUUUCGGGUACCGCCUCGGUUUAAAUUUCUUGGAACAGAAUGUCAAAGAGGGUGAGAAUCCCGUCUUGGACCGGCGGUAGGGCCUAUGUGAAACUCCUUCGACGAGUCGAGUUGUUUGGGAAUGCAGCUCAAAAUGGGUGGUAAAUUUCAUCUAAAGCUAAAUAUUGGCCAGAGACCGAUAGCGCACAAGUAGAGUGAUCGAAAGAUGAAAAGCACUUUGAAAAGAGAGUUAAACAGUAUGUGAAAUUGUUGAAAGGGAAGCGCUUGCAACCAGACUUGAGCGCGGCGGUUCCCCCUUGCUUCUGCUUGGGUUACUCCGCCGUGUCCAGGCCAACAUCGGUUCUGGGGGUCGGUCAAAGGCCUUGGGAAUGUAUCUACCCACGGGUAGACUUAUAGACCAGGGUGUCAUGCGACCUCCCGGGACCGAGGAACGCGCUUCGGCUCGGAUGUUGGCGUAAUGGUUGUCAGCGACCCGUCUUGAAACACGGACCAAGGAGUCUAACAUCUAUGCGAGUGUUUGGGUGUCAAACCCGGAACGCGAAAUGAAAGUGAACGGAGGUAGGAAGCUUCGGCUGCACUAUCGACCGAUCCUGAAGUUUACGGAUGGAUUUGAGUAUGAGCAUAGCUGUUGGGACCCGAAAGAUGGUGAACUAUGCCUGAAUAGGGUGAAGCCAGAGGAAACUCUGGUGGAGGCUCGCAGCGGUUCUGACGUGCAAAUCGAUCGUCAAAUUUGGGUAUAGGGGCGAAAGACUAAUCGAACCAUCUGGUAGCUGGUUCCUGCCGAA
rnacentral:rRNA from 1 species